GAUUAAGGUCUCCGUAGGUGAACCAGCGGAGGGAUCAUUACCGAGUUUACAACUCCCAAACCCCUGUGAACAUACCUUUAUGUUGCCUCGGCGGAUCAGCCCGCGCCCCGUAAAACGGGACGGCCCGCCGCAGGAACCACAAAACUCUGAUUUUAGUGUAACUUCUGAGUCUAAAAAACAAAUAAAUCAAAACUUUCAACAACGGAUCUCUUGGUUCUGGCAUCGAUGAAGAACGCAGCAAAAUGCGAUAAGUAAUGUGAAUUGCAGAAUUCAGUGAAUCAUCGAAUCUUUGAACGCACAUUGCGCCCGCCAGUAUUCUGGCGGGCAUGCCUGUUCGAGCGUCAUUUCAACCCUCAAGCCCCCGGGUUUGGUGUUGGGGAUCGGGCUGUACUCCAGCCCGGCCCCGAAAUCUAGUGGCGGUCUCGCUGCAGCCUCCAUUGCGUAGUAGCUAACACCUCGCAACUGGAACGCGGCGCGGCCAAGCCGUUAAACCCCCAACUUCUGAAUGUUGACCUCGGAUCAGGUAGGGAUACAAUC
rnacentral:rRNA from 1 species